AGAGUCAAAAGCUUAACCAACUGAGCCACCCAGGCACCCCUUGGUAGGAUGGUGUUUUGAGUUUGGUGUGUUUGGAGGAUCAGGAGCAGAUUAUGAAAGAGAGAACCAACAAGCCCCCAGCUCAUCCCACACUGAGCCCAGUGCCAGGCCUGACACUAGCUGGGCCAUAAUGGAUGCUCAAGAAAUACUGAAACUGAAUCAACUCAUCCCUGAGGCCUCUGGAACACCAAUGAAGCCUGAAAGGAGGCUGGAUGCUGGAUGUUCAUGCUAACUCUGAAGCUCUGUGCCAGGAUUCUUAUCUUCGAUAUCAGCAAAGAGAUCUGUGUCACUUCGGAGCAGAAACUUUAAGAGUUUUUGUGUGCUUUUUGUCUGUCAUAAGAAUGAGAUAUUCCAGAUAGAGCCUCUUUUUUUUUCAAACUGAAUCCAAGAAUCCAAUGGCAGAAGGCCACAGUCCACCUACAACUGACAUGGAAAAUGAACAAUAAAUGAACUUCUGCUAUUGUAAGCCA